CCGGGUUGCGGACAGUGUCUGGUGGGUAGUUUGACUGGGGCGGUCUCCUCCCAAAGAGUAACGGAGGAGCACGAAGGUUAGCUAAUCCUGGUCGGACAUCAGGAGGUUAGUGCAAUGGCAUAAGCUAGCUUGACUGCGAGAGUGACGGCUCGAGCAGGUGCGAAAGCAGGUCAUAGUGAUCCGGUGGUUCUGAAUGGAAGGGCCAUCGCUCAACGGAUAAAAGGUACUCCGGGGAUAACAGGCUGAUACCGCCCAAGAGUUCAUAUCGACGGCGGUGUUUGGCACCUCGAUGUCGGCUCAUCACAUCCUGGGGCUGAAGUAGGUCCCAAGGGUAUGGCUGUUCGCCAUUUAAAGUGGUACGCGAGCUGGGUUUAGAACGUCGUGAGACAGUUCGGUCCCUAUCUGCCGUGGGCGCUGGAGAAUUGAGGGGGGCUGCUCCUAGUACGAGAGGACCGGAGUGGACGCAUCACUGGUGUUCGGGUUGUCAUGCCAAUGGCACUGCCCGGUAGCUAAAUGCGGAAGAGAUAAGUGCUGAAAGCAUCUAAGCACGAAACUUGCCCCGAGAUGAGUUCUCCCUGA
rnacentral:rRNA from 1 species